AAACAGCUGUUAGUAAAUAUUUAUCUUCACGUGGAAAGGCGAGAAAACUUCACAAUUGUCCAUUUUCUGGUUAAUAAAUAAAAACAAAUAGCAUUUUUUCCAAAAAAUUCAAAAUGUACGAAGUUGAGACAAUAACCAAAAUCGCCAACUCCCUCGGAGUACCAGCUGGCGAUGUAAAAUUGAAUUCAGAAAAGGUAGUAACUCGCACAAAAAAUAGUAAAACUGUUUCGGGCUUUGCCACUAUUCUAAAUAAUCUUGCACAAGAAUCAAAAUCUGAGAUAGCAUUAAACAGUGCAGCAACUCGAGAAAUCAGCGCUGAAGUCUAUCAGUGGAUUGAAUUUGCAGUAUUGUAUGUGGCACCAGGCUCCAAGGACAAGCACAUCUCACAGCAACUGCUGCGUGAUUUCAAUAAACUUUUCACCACUAAAUCGUAUUUAGUGGGUUAUUUCAUAACUAUAUCGGACUUAGCUAUAUUCUUUGCAAUCUACGAUUUAGUGAAAUCCCUUACGCCCCUCGAGAAAGAGAACUACUUAAACCUAUCACGCUGGUUCGAUCAUCUACAACAGAGGCCAGAAAUAAGCCAAGGAGAUAGUCUACUAAAUUUUAACACAAUAUAUCUGCAUGGUUGGGCGACAGGAACUCAUGUAUAAAGCCUAUCCCGGAGUAUUGGCCUACAUUUAAAGAAAAGCAAAUAUGAAUACCACGUAUGAAAAUGUGAAAGAAUCAACAAGGUCAACUCCGACAUUGAAAUCCUGUCCAGCAAAAAUAUUCAACAAACGAUUGGGCAAAAAAAUUAAAAACUAAAAUACAUACAGGCAAUGCGCAUACAUACACACAUACAAAACAUGCGUAUUACAAAAGUGUAAUACAAAAUAAAAUAAACUACAGAAAUCGGCGAAGCAACGAACACCGCAUACUACAGCAAAAAGUGCAACACGCAAGCAGUCGUCGCCAAACAAAAAAAGCGGAAGCAACCUUGACUCAAUGACUGCAUCAAUGCCAACGACCUGAGUGCGACUGACUGGCUGGCUGGUGAGCCGAUUACGCGAUUGGUGGCAGCUAUACAUACAAUGUAAGCAAGUGAGUGCAGUGUAGUGUGCCAGCCCGAAAUGUUUUGUUCGAAAAUUGUAUGAAUCCACGUUGCUGCCACAUAACCAGAGCGUCAAACGUAUGGCAGAAUGGAUGGAAUAUAAAUUGCACUUAGAGAAUCCUCAAAUCGAGAUGUAGGGAUUGGAAUUAUAGGAAUUUUAAUAAAGUUACUGUUUGAUAAUACAAA